rnacentral:lncRNA from 1 species
CAUUGCCAUUUACAUUUAAUCUCAUAUUUUCUUCCAGUUUCUACAGUUUCCUGACUUUACACUUUAGCAAACUGAAAAUUGUUUUAGGAAAUUAAGUUCCCAGAACAACAAAAUCAAACCUUUAUCAUUAGCAAAGCAGACUGACUCUGGCAGAAACAAAGAACUUUGCAAAAACAAAAUUAAUUCCACAACAUUGUGAGAUAAUAUGCAUCUAUAAAAUGCAGUUUUCCAAUUUUCUCUCUUUUGUCCCACUUAGGAAAAAAACAGAACACUUCAGCAGCAAGUUUAUGGAAGCUCUGUUACAACAAGAGGCUUUCAAAGGUAGUUCCUUCAAAAAUUUCAUCUACCACUGUUUAAGCUUAGCCUGGGACGUGGAUGCACAGAAAGAGGUGGGCAGCAUCUUGGAACAUCCUUUUGAUGUGUGUGGUCAUUUUCACAACUUGGUAAGCUUAAUAUCUCAAAGUUGUAGACAUGGUUGUGCUCACACACCAUUUGUCACUGCUGUACCAUUACAUAUAUGCCGUGGGCCAAAAUAA